rfam:Toxocara canis scaffold445, whole genome shotgun sequence.
GUGGCAGUAGCUUAGUGGUAGAGCUCCUGCUUCGUACGCGGGAAGACCUGCGUUGGAUUCUCGGCUGCUUCC